ncrna:unclassified sequences DTF3800-I RNA
UAUAAAUGCAGAUAGAAUAUCUGUAUACUCAUGUUACCGAAUUAACGUUUAAGCGAUAUGUGCUAUCGCCGGACAUGAGGCCGCCUUUAAGGCGGUUUUUUUGUAU